GGAGGUGUCGCAUAGCGGUCAAUUGCGCAGGUUUGCUAAACCUGAUCCCUUUGGGGAUACGUGGGUUCGAAUCCCACCACCUCCG
rnacentral:tRNA from 1 species